GAUGAACGCUGGCGGCGUGCCUAAUACAUGCAAGUCGAGCGAACGGACGAGAAGCUUGCUUCUCUGAUGUUAGCGGCGGACGGGUGAGUAACACGUGGAUAACCUACCUAUAAGACUGGGAUAACUUCGGGAAACCGGAGCUAAUACCGGAUAAUAUUUUGAACCGCAUGGUUCAAAAGUGAAAGACGGUCUUGCUGUCACUUAUAGAUGGAUCCGCGCUGCAUUAGCUAGUUGGUAAGGUAACGGCUUACCAAGGCAACGAUGCAUAGCCGACCUGAGAGGGUGAUCGGCCACACUGGAACUGAGACACGGUCCGGACUCCUACGGGAGGCAGCAGUAGGGAAUCUUCCGCAAUGGGCGAAAGCCUGACGGAGCAACGCCGCGUGAGUGAUGAAGGUCUUCGGGUCGUAAAACUCUGUUAUUAGGGAAGAACAUAUGUGUAAGUAACUGUGCACAUCUUGACGGUACCUAAUCAGAAAGCCACGGCUAACUACGUGCCAGCAGCCGCGGUAAUACGUAGGUGGCAAGCGUUAUCCGGAAUUAUUGGGCGUAAAGCGCGCGUAGGCGGUUUUUUAAGUCUGAUGUGAAAGCCCACGGCUCAACCGUGGAGGGUCAUUGGAAACUGGAAAACUUGAGUGCAGAAGAGGAAAGUGGAAUUCCAUGUGUAGCGGUGAAAUGCGCAGAGAUAUGGAGGAACACCAGUGGCGAAGGCGACUUUCUGGUCUGUAACUGACGCUGAUGUGCGAAAGCGUGGGGAUCAAACAGGAUUAGAUACCCUGGUAGUCCACGCCGUAAACGAUGAGUGCUAAGUGUUAGGGGGUUUCCGCCCCUUAGUGCUGCAGCUAACGCAUUAAGCACUCCGCCUGGGGAGUACGACCGCAAGGUUGAAACUCAAAGGAAUUGACGGGGACCCGCACAAGCGGUGGAGCAUGUGGUUUAAUUCGAAGCAACGCGAAGAACCUUACCAAAUCUUGACAUCCUUUGACAACUCUAGAGAUAGAGCUUUCCCCUUCGGGGGACAAAGUGACAGGUGGUGCAUGGUUGUCGUCAGCUCGUGUCGUGAGAUGUUGGGUUAAGUCCCGCAACGAGCGCAACCCUUAAGCUUAGUUGCCAUCAUUAAGUUGGGCACUCUAAGUUGACUGCCGGUGGCAAACCGGAGGAAGGUGGGGAUGACGUCAAAUCAUCAUGCCCCUUAUGAUUUGGGCUACACACGUGCUACAAUGGACAAUACAAAGGGCAGCGAAACCGCGAGGUCAAGCAAAUCCCAUAAAGUUGUUCUCAGUUCGGAUUGUAGUCUGCAACUCGACUACAUGAAGCUGGAAUCGCUAGUAAUCGUAGAUCAGCAUGCUACGGUGAAUACGUUCCCGGGUCU
rnacentral:rRNA from 1 species